rnacentral:lncRNA from 1 species
CAAACCUUAUCACUCAGCCUCAGUUGCCAACCCUGGCCUAAUGGCUACAGAGGGCAAAGGGGGCUGUACUGAAGCCGUUGGCGUGUUCUGUUGGGUCCUGUGCCCACUCCUGUGUAUAACCAUCCCUGACUAGAAGUAAACAAGAGGAUUGCCAUGCAGUCACAAGAAAAAAAAAAAAAAGAGAUCAGUUCUGCAAAGGCUUUUGGUUCAGGAAAGCAAGACAUGAAUAAAAGGGACGCAGUUCUCUGUCACUGGUGGAGUUGUCGGUUUCCAAAAACACAAAAAUGAAGUCUCGCUGUUGCCCAGUCUGGAGUGGAGUGGCGCGACCUCGGCUCACUGCAACCUCUAUCUCCAGGAUGCAAGGGAUUCUCGUGUCUCAGCCUCCCAAGUAGCUGGGACUAUAGGCGAGUGCCACCAUGCCCAGCUAAUUUUGGCCAGGCUGGUCUCAAAUUCCUGGCCUCAAGUGAUCCAUCUUCCUCGGCCUCCCAAAGUGCUGGGAUUACAGGCAUGAGCCACCAUGCCCAGCCCCAUCUUUCUAAUUUUAAUCAAUUUAUUUAAAUAAAAUUUUUCAUCACUACCAUAAAU